GAUGAAGAACGUAGUGAAAUGCGAUAAGUAAUGUGAAUUGCAGAAUUCAGUGAAUCAUCGAAUCUUUGAACGCACAUUGCGCCCGCCAGUAUUCUGGCGGGCAUGCCUGUUCGAGCGUCAUUUCAACCAUCAAGCCCUGCUUGCGUUGGGGUCCUGCGGCUGCCCGCAGGCCCUGAAAACCAGUGGCGGGCUCGCUAGUCACACCGAGCGCAGUAAUACAUCUCGCUUUGGGCGUGCGGCGGGUUCUUGCCGUUAAACACCCCCUUUUUACCAAGGUUGACCUCGGGUCAGGUAGGAAUACCCGCUGAACUUAAGCAUAUCAAUAAGCGGAGA
rnacentral:misc_RNA from 1 species